rnacentral:ncRNA from 1 species
AGAGUUUGAUCCUGGCUCAGAAUGAACGUUAAUGGUUAGCAUAACACAUGCGAGUUAAAGUAAUUUACUGGCGAACGGGUGAGUAAUUUAUAGAAAUUAAUUCAGAUCUAUUAUUAAAUGUAUGAAAAGAUUAACUCGUCUCUGAAAAAAUCUAUAAAAGAUUAAGUUGUUGGUAAAUUAAGCUUACCAAGCUUACGAUCUUUAGUUGAUCUAUGCGGAUGAACAACCACACUGGAGAUGAAAACGAUCCAGACUUUAUUAAAAGGCAGCAGUGAGGAAUAUUGAGCAAUGAGCGAAAGCUUGACUCAGCUAAACCAUUUGUGUGAUUGAAGACAAGUCGUUGUAAAACACAUUAUCAUGAAAAUAAUGAUUGAAUUCAAAAAGUCCUGGCUAAUUUCGUGCCAGCAGCCGCGGUAAAACGGGAAGGGCAAACGUUAUUCGGAUUAAUUGGGCGUAAAGAAUAUGUAGGCUGAUUAUUAACUUCUAAUUAAAAACUUAAAGUUUAUUUUUAUUUAAUUUAGAAAAAUAAUAGUCUAGAGUUUAAAUAAAGAUUAUAGAAUUUUAAAUGUAACAGUAAAAUGUAUUGAUAUUUAAAGGAAUCUCAAUUGCGGAAGCAGUAAUCUAAUUUAAAACUGACGCUGAGAUAUUAAAGUAUAGGAAUCAAAAGGGAUUAGAUACCCCUGUAGUCUAUACCCUGAACGAUGAGUGUUUACUUUAAAGUCUUCUAAAGUAAAGCUAACGCAAAACACUCCGCCUGGGAACUACGGUCGCAAGACUAAAACUCAAAGGAAUUGACGGGGACCUGCACAAGCAGUGGAGCAUGUGGUUUAAAUCGACAAUACGCGCGGAAUCUUACCAAUUUUUGCAUAAAAACAGGUGUUGCAUGGCUGUCGUCAGUCCGUGCUGUGAAGCGUUUGGUUCAUUCCAAUAAACGGACAAAACUCUUAUGUAUUUUAGAAUAUAAACAGUUGAAGAUAUUUCAAAGGAAGGAAAGAAUAACGUCAAGUCCUCAUGACCCUAAUGAAUUGGGCUACUUUCAUGUGCUACAAUGAUUUUUUCAAUGAGAAGCAAAGCUGAAAAUCAUAGCUAAACUUUAACAAGAAUCAAGUACGGAUUAUUUUCUGAAAAUCGAAAAUAUGAAGCUGGAAUUGCUAGUAAUCGUAAAUUAGAAUGUUACGGUGAAUUUGUUCUCAGGUCUUGUACACACCGCCCGUCACGCUAUGGAAAUUUAUUUUAUUGGAAAAUUUUAUUUAAGGUAAAAAAAGGACUGAAGUGAAGUCGUAACAAGGUAGCCGUAGGGGAACCUGUGGCUGGAUUAUAAUUAUAUAGAUUUCUACUACC